UACGUAGGGGGCAAGCGUUGUCCGGAAUCAUUGGGCGUAAAGAGCGUGUAGGCGGCCCGGUAAGUCCGUUGUGAAAGUCCAGGGCUCAACCCUGGAAUGCCGAUGGAUACUGCCGGGCUAGAGUCCGGAAGAGGCGAGUGGAAUUCCUGGUGUAGCGGUGAAAUGCGCAGAUAUCAGGAGGAACACCAAUGGCGAAGGCAGCACUCUGGGACGUGACUGACGCUGAGACGCGAAAGCGUGGGGAGCAAACAGG
rnacentral:rRNA from 1 species